rnacentral:rRNA from 1 species
CCCCUAGAUGUUCUGGGCCGCACGCGCGCUACACUGAACAGUUCAACAAGUCUUAACCUUGGCCGAUAGGUCUGGGUAAUCUUUGAACGCUGUUCGUGAUUGGGAUAGACCUUUGCAAUUAUGGGUCUUCAACGAGGAAUUCCUAGUAAACGCAAGUCAUCAGCUUGCAUUGAUUACGUCCCUGCUCUUUGUACACACCGCCCGUCGCACCUACCGAUUGAAUGGUCCGGUGAAAUCUCGGGACGGCGGCUUGGUCGCUUGCGUCCGACUGCUGAAACUUGAUUAAACCAUAUCAUUUAGAGGAAGGUGAAGUCGUANCA